GACGCUGGGCCGCAGGCCUAGGCACAUGCAAAUCGAGCGGGAGCACAGAGAGCUUGCUCUCUUCGUGACGAGCGGCGGACGGGUGAGUAAUGUCUGGGAAACUGCCUGAUGGAGGGGGAUAACUACUGGAAACGGUAGCUAAUACCGCAUAACGUCGCAAGACCAAAGUGGGGGACCUUCGGGCCUCAUGCCAUCAGAUGUGCCCAGAUGGGAUUAGCUAGUAGGUGGGGUAACGGCUCACCUAGGCGACGAUCCCUAGCUGGUCUGAGAGGAUGACCAGCCACACUGGAACUGAGACACGGUCCAGACUCCUACGGGAGGCAGCAGUGGGGAAUAUUGCACAAUGGGCGCAAGCCUGAUGCAGCCAUGCCGCGUGUGUGAAGAAGGCCUUCGGGUUGUAAAGCACUUUCAGCGGGGAGGAAGGCGAUAAGGUUAAUAACCUUGUCGAUUGACGUUACCCGCAGAAGAAGCACCGGCUAACUCCGUGCCAGCAGCCGCGGUAAUACGGAGGGUGCAAGCGUUAAUCGGAAUUACUGGGCGUAAAGCGCACGCAGGGCGGUCUGUCAAGUCGGAUGUGAAAUCCCCGGGCUCAACCUGGGAACUGCAUUCGAAACUGGCAGGCUAGAGUCUUGUAGAGGGGGGUAGAAUUCCAGGUGUAGCGGUGAAAUGCGUAAAGAUCUG
rnacentral:rRNA from 1 species